rnacentral:rRNA from 1 species
GACGAACGCUGGCGGCGUGCUUAACACAUGCAAGUCGAACGGAAAGGCCUCUUUCGGGGGGUACUCGAGUGGCGAACGGGUGAGUAACACGUGAGUAACCUGCCCUUGACUUUGGGAUAACUUCAGGAAACUGGGGCUAAUACCGGAUAGGAGCUCCUGCUGCAUGGUGGGGGCUGGAAAGUUUCGGGGGUUGGGGGUGGGCUCGCGGCUUAUCAGCUUGUUGGGGGGGUAGUGGCUUACCAAGGCUUUGACGGGUAGCCGGCCUGAGAGGGUGACCGGCCACAUUGGGACUGAGAUACGGCCCAGACGCCUACGGGAGGCAGAAGUGGGGAAUAUUGCACAAUGGGUGGAAGCCUGAUGCAGCAACGCCGUGUGCGGGAUGACGGCCUUCGGGUUGUAAACCGCUUUCGCUCAUGACGAAGCUUUGUGUGACGGUAGUGGGUAAAGAAGCACCGGCUAACUACGUG